rnacentral:rRNA from 1 species
AACGAACGCUGGCGGCAGGCCUAAUACAUGCAAGUCGAACGCACCGCAAGGUGAGUGGCAGACGGGUGAGUAACGCGUGGGAACCUUCCUAGUAGUACGGAAUAACUUCGGGAAACCAAAGCUAAUACCGUAUACGCCCUUCGGGGGAAAGAUUUAUCGCUAUUAGAUGGGCCCGCGUAGGAUUAGCUAGUUGGUGAGGUAAUGGCUCACCAAGGCUACGAUCCUUAGCUGGUCUGAGAGGAUGAUCAGCCACACUGGGACUGAGACACGGCCCAGACUCCUACGGGAGGCAGCAGUAGGGAAUAUUGGAAAAUGGGCGAAAGCCUGAUCCAGCCAUGCCGCGUGAGUGAAGAAGGCCUUAGGGUUGUAAAGCUCUUUUGGCGGGGAAGAUAAUGACGGUACCGUAAGAAUAAGCACCGGCUAACUACGUGCCAGCCGCCGCUGUAA